rnacentral:rRNA from 1 species
UAAACUGAAGAGUUUGAUCAUGGCUCAGAUUGAACGCUGGCGGCAGGCCUAACACAUGCAAGUCGAGCGGUAACAGAUCUAGCUUGCUAGAUGCUGACGAGCGGCGGACGGGUGAGUAAUGCAUAGGAAUCUGCCCGAUAGUGGGGGAUAACCUGGGGAAACCCAGGCUAAUACCGCAUACGUCCUACGGGAGAAAGGGGGCUCCGGCUCCCGCUAUUGGAUGAGCCUAUGUCGGAUUAGCUAGUUGGUGAGGUAAAGGCUCACCAAGGCGACGAUCCGUAGCUGGUCUGAGAGGAUGAUCAGCCACAUCGGGACUGAGACACGGCCCGAACUCCUACGGGAGGCAGCAGUGGGGAAUAUUGGACAAUGGGGGCAACCCUGAUCCAGCCAUGCCGCGUGUGUGAAGAAGGCC